rnacentral:tRNA from 1 species
GCCCGAGUGGCUCAGUGGUGGAGCAUCUGCCUUCAGCUCAGCGCAUGACCCCGGGUCCUGGGAUCGAGUCCCACGUCGGGCU